ACCCUGAAAAAAAAAUUGUAAUCUUGGUCCCCCACUUGAUUAAUGGCUAGCGUCAUUACUAUUGUAGUGUUGAUAGCUCAGAUAUGUUGAAAUAAUUUUUGCUCUUCAAAAUGAGAAAACACAUGACAUUGCUGAACUGUGGCUGUUCGUCAACUCUUGAUAUUAAACAAUAGAGAAUCGUCUUACCGCCCUCAAAUAGUUUGUGCGCGGUUUACAAGCUGGAACAUACAUUCAACUAACUUUCUCCUCAAAACUUAAUAACCGCUUCUCAGAAUUACAAUAUUGAAAAUUGUUCAUGGCAGAACAGCCCUUUUUGCAUCAUUUUGUGGAGUCUUGAUAAUAGCAAUCCCUUGCUAUUGAAAGUUGUAACAUUCUUUUCAUUAACAUUGAAGUUCGAAUGCUUUCAAGUCCUUUUAAAUAAAAAAAUAGGAGGCUUGGGACAUUGUGGUAUAGGGCCUAUCCAGACAUUUUUAAACUGCUAGAAUAAGAAGUUAACAUUCACGAAUGUUUGUACUGAGAAAAAGGUACCGAGUUCGAUUUAUCUAAGCAGUGGUUCAUACACACCUCUAACACCACCCCAGGAGGAGCCAGACACUGCCAAAUUUUUUCCAAUAUACCCCCCCCCUCCUUACUUUCUCCCGCACGCAAGAGGUAUUCGCCAAAUGCCAGUUAGGUCGGAAGAGACAAAAUAGAAAGGCGUCUUUUUGCGCCUCUUGUUCAUCAAGCAAUGUUUCAGAAAAAAUGAGGACAUACAAGGCACUGUUUCCAACUAAAUCUUUUAUCCAAGAAAACCAAUAUACAGUAAACUACCACUUGAACGUCACUUAAGCAAAUUAUUCAGCUGUACGAACUUUUUUUGUAUCCCCCAUCGAAACCCCAUUCAACCCAAUGCAAAUGCCUUUCAGUUUAACAAAAUUCAGUACAGUGGCAUUUCAGUUCUGUGAUCAUAUUCUGCUACAUCAUCAUCAUCAUGAUUUUUAUUUUUACCACUGGAUACAAGGUGAAAAAGGGAGAGCCGGGAAAAAAGCCGAAAUCUCUUCGGCUUGACAAAGUUCCGGUCUCCCAGACAGGCACGGAAGCGGCUGGUGUAGCAAUACAAUUACGCAUAAAGUGUGGAAAUAAGAGUUUUUUAAACACAAAUACAUAUAGAAAUUUUCAUGUUAUUACAUGGAAACUAGUUGUAAUACAGUUGUGUCAAAUGACUCCCAGUAUACAAUUAUAAUCUGUUAUCUUGCAUAUUAUUAUUUAACACAGACUCAGUUGCAUAUAUCAUAGUGGACUUGGAAGCACCGAACGAGUACGGAUGCUGAUCAAAUUUUUUCUGAUCGCACAGAUCGUGCUGUCGAGGACCGGAUUCGUCGACGCAGGGUCUGAGCAUGCACUGCAUCAGGCCUAUCUACUGCUACCUCCGGCUGUCUGCCCUGCUGGCUUCAUCGGACAAAACAAGUCGCAGGAAGCUGUACCACGUGCACUGCACUGGGACCACCUGACCAGCACGGUGACGUCGACGGAGACAUCGUGGCACCCGGAUAAAAGCAGCAGCCUUUUCGACGUUCCCUUCAGUGGACUUGGAAGCACCGAACGAGCACGGAUGCUGAUCAAAUUUUUUCUGAUCGCACAGGCGAUCUUUGGAAGCUUCAGUGAUACCUGACGACUGGCGAAGGGCCAAAGUAAUACCUGUGCACAAAUCUGGCUCUAAACUCGACGUAAGUAACUAUAGAUCUGUUUCAUUAACAUGUGCAUCCAGUAAAUUGUUCGAACAUAUUAUUUAUAAGGCCAUAAUAUUGCACUUAGAGAAUAAUAACCUACUAUACAGCCGGCAACAUGGAUUCCGUUCAGGUCUAAGUACUAUUACUCAGUUAGCUGAGUUAACCCAUGAUGUAGCUACCACAAUAAAUAACAGAAGCCAAAUAGAUGCCAUUUUCUUAGAUUUUUCAAAGGCCUUUGAUGUUGUUCCUCAUCCAGAUCUUACUACUAAACUAAUUGCCAUUGGUGUACACGAGAAAACAGUAUCAUGGAUCAAGAGCUAUCUCGAAAACAGAAAGCAAUGCGUAGCUGUGAAUGAUAUUACGUCUGAUUACGUCAACGUUUUUUCUGGUGUUCCACAAGGCUCGGUUCUUGCGCCCCUCCUAUUUCUGAUCUACAUCAAUGAUAUUCGUUCAUGCGUUCAGCCGCCCAUUCGUCGAUGAUUGCGUAGUGUACGCAACAGUGAAUACCAGAGAGGAUCAGGUAAAACUAGAUGAUUCGUUAGCUGCUGUACAAAAUUGGUGCAACAUUUGGGGGAUGAAACUGAAUGCAUCAAAAACUACCAGUAUCUCCUUCACUCACAAGAAAAAUGUGCUUCAGUUUACAUACACAAUAAACAAUGUAUCACUAAGAAAAUACGAGGAGGUCACAUAUCUCGAGGUCACUCUUACAACGAAAUUAAAUUGGGAAACUCAUAUAGAUAACAUAUAUGACAAGGCCCUAGGUAAACUACAUUUCUUGAGAAGAAAACUUAGAAACACACCUCCUAGUGUUAAAUUAAAUGCAUGCAAAACCCUCAUUAGACCCUCUUUAGAGUAUGCUGACAUUAUUUGGGCCCCGCACCAGAAGCAUUUCACCGAGAAACUAGAACGCAUACAGAACUUAGCAUUGAGAUUUAUAUAUUCACAAUAUUCACGUCAAACGAGCAUUACGAACCUGCGCGUCAAGGCUAACAUUCAAUCACUGGCUCAACAUAGAAUGAUUUCCAGAUUAAAAUUUCUAUACUUACUUUAUCACGGCUCCUAUCGAAUACCACAAGCAACAUAAAUUCAAGCGCCAUUCAGACUUUCUGCCCGAACCAACCAUAAUAAAUCAAUACGACACCAUCCCAGCCAUAAUAACACUCACAAGUACUCUUUAUUCCCACACGCCAUUUCCCAUUGGAACAUACUACCCUCCAGAGCCGUAAAUUGCCCAUCUGCCAACGCAAUUAUUGACAGUAUUGAGAAUCUGGAAUUCGAAUGGUGAUAUUACCUGUAUUUCAUAUGCAGCCUCUGUAGAUGCAUUCUUAUAGUAAACGCUGUUUCUCCUGCUUCCCGGGCGGCUCAUUUAAACAGUGUAUAUAUUUAUUGAGUGUGUUCUUUUUUGUGUGUGCUAAUGCUCUUUGUUUUGGAUACACUAGUUUCACUUUAUUCUUUUUUUGUACUGUAUUCCAUGUUGUAACCACUCAUGCAUGGGCCCGACGAUGGCCUGCAAUAUUGUAAAAUAAAUAACUAAAUAAGAAUGCAAAAGCAAUAUAUGUAUACAUAUAUAUACAUACACACACAUACAUAUAUAAAUAUAACAAAUUUCACAGAAGUUUACAAUAAACACAAGUUAAGUUACCAUCAGGAAACAUUCUUUUUUUUUCAGAAAUUAUUUUACAUACUUGCAAAUAUAUAUGUGCAUCUAUGUUAAAAAACAUAAAAAAAGAAAAUCUGCAUAUAGGCUGCUGCUUUCGCGACAGACAUCACGGCAACGUAGCCCAGGGCGUCAUCACAUCCUUGAAUUUUAACAAACGCGAAGACGCCCUUUGCAGCAUCCAGUUUACAACACGAAACCCUGCCACGUGGUUCGGGCACAAUCACUGCAGCGGAAACCCGGAUUCUAGGAAUAGUAGUUACAAGUGUGAAUGUAUAAACAAAACAAAAAGCUUCUACUUAACAUUGAUACAAAAAAAUCUUCUGGCGUCGAUGCGAUACCCAACACAUUCCUAUUCCGGUAUGCCGAGUGGUGCUCUAAAUUCUUAUGUGUGAUUUUUAAUAAGUCGUUACAACUAUCCGAGUUGCCUCAUGACUGGAAGUUUGGAAAGAUUGUUCCAGUGCCAAAAGGAGGAGACCCAUCGCUGCUUUCUUCCUAUCGACCCAUUUCUAUACUCUGCACAUGUUCCAAACUUCUUGAACACAUUAUCUUUAAACAUCUAACAGCUUAUCUUGAGCUUCAUGGUUUUCUUGACCCCAGGCAGCAUGGAUUUCGUAAAGGGCUUUCAACUACUACUCAGCUUAUAGAAACCAUUCAUGAUUUCGCAGCUAUUCUGGAUGAGCAAGGGCAAAUUGAUAUUAUUUUUCUAGAUUUCGAGAAAGCGUUUGACCGGGUAUCACAUACCAAACUCAUGAUAAAAUUGAAACCUAUACUUAAAAAUGAGUCCCUUCUUUCUUGGAUUCAAGCAUACCUUACUUCGAGACGACAAACUGUAAACAUAGACGGAACACAUUCACGUUCAAGACCUGUACUAUCCGGAAUCCCACAGGGAUCAGUGCUUGGGCCCUUUUUUUCUUAAUUUUCAUCAAUGAUAUUGCACAGGAAUUGCCAGUUAAAAUAAAAUUGUUUGCUGACGACUGCGUUUUAUAUAAAGAAAUCCGUAGUCCCGCUGACCAAUCGCUGUUAAAUACCUCGCUGUCUACAGUGCAAUCAUGGUGCAGCACAUGGCAAAUGAAAAUCAAUGCGAAAAAAACUGUAGCGAUGACCGUGACGCGGAAACGACACCCUUUAAACAACCGGUAUUCGAUCGAUGGGCAAAUUUUAGACCGCGUGACAAGCUAUAAAUAUUUGGGUGUAGUUAUCAGCUCGGAUUUAAAAUGGAAUGAGCACGUGUCAUACAUAGAAAAGAAAGCCAUGCAGAAGCUUGGUUACGUGAGGCGUUGCUUAAGAAAUUCACCCCAUGAGAUAAAGCUACUAGCUUACAAAACUUUCGUCCGCCCGAUUCUUGAGUAUGGGUCUGUCGUCUGGGAUCCACAUAGCGAUAUUAACAUACAAAAGGUGGAAAAAAUUCAGAGAAAGGCGAUAAGGUUUGUAUUCAAUUCCUUCAGCCGGUAUGCAUCACCAAGUGCUAUGCUCGAAACAGCAGAACUGGUUACCCUGCAAAAACGGCGAUUUAAAGAACGAUUAAAGUACAUGUAUCUGCUC